rnacentral:lncRNA from 1 species
UGCGUGGCUCACAACACAGCAGAUCCUGGAGAUGGUCCUGCUUCUGAGGUGCCACGCUAUCAGAAGGAUGUCCUUUCUGAACUUCUGACAUGAUUUAGCAGGCACAGACCAGUGUGGUCGGUGAAGUCACAUCCUGGAGUGUCAUGUUGUGCGCCACAACCACGUGCUGCCAGGCCAAGAAGCCACCAAUGGGGUUCUCCAUCCAUCCCCCCUGGUGUCAGGCCCUCAAAGGACAGGCUGCAGUGCCAGAAUUGCUGCCUGGACACCUUCUCUAUGGACCCAGGACCUAA